UUUAAUGGAGUCCCAGAAGCCUGUCCAACUCACUCACACUCGCCCUUGAACACCCUCUCAAGCAUUAGGUUCUGAGGGGACAGCAGCGGUGCCGGGAUGAGGGGUGGCAGGGGGAAGGAGGCCAUUACAUUUAUAUGGAGGGAAGCCUGAUUGAAAGACCUCGGGAAAACAUCAAGACAGGAAACCAUUAGCAUAAACAUACAGUCCUUUCUCUGAGACCACCAAUGAAGGGAAGAAGCAUGUACAUUGAAGCAUUUCAAGAGGGAUCACUGAAGAUCAAAUGUCGUUCUCAAAAAAAAUUAGCAAAUAAGCUCUGAGCUUUUGGGUACUGUUCUCCAAGAAGAUUAGCUGAUGGUGUGUAAUUGAGCAAGUGAACUGUGGGAGCCAAACUAUGGGAGAAGAUGAGCAAGGGAUAUGACAUGUCAGAGGUAAGAUUAUGUGGUAGAAAACCUUUCAUCCAUGGACUUCAGAAUACAUUGCACAGACUUAUCAUUAACUAGGGAUAUGGAAAUCUCUUUAUUUGAGAGAGAAUGGGAAACCAAAGCAGAGGCCUGAAAUGACCAGGUUAUAAAGAAGGUCACAUGCAAGAGAGGAGCAUGGAUUUCUGAGCUCAGCAAACAUUUCACUUUGCUCCCUCCCACAGUGCUCUGUUGGGUCACUGGGACCCAGGCUAUAAAUAACCAGGUGGCCUUUAGGUCACCACUUAGGAAGGUCUGUAUAACCUCACCCAGUGUUGCUGCACCUCUCUCAUUGAAAUGACCAUUAAUGCCAAAGGAAAGAAUAACACGACGAUUUAAAUCCAUGUGAAUGCUCUCAAAUUAUUAAUAGGUUUGUUUCAUUUUUCUAAGCCCAUUUUGGGGUAAGAUGGUUCACUAUGAGAGUCUUUAUAAUGUUUCUUCUAUGUAUAAUUUUCUUGCUGCUGUACUUCAAAAAGAAAAAAAAAAAA